CUGUGAGCUCGAUGAGUAGGGCGGGACACGUGGUAUCCUGUCUGAAUAUGGGGGGACCAUCCUCCAAGGCUAAAUACUCCUGACUGACCGAUAGUGAACCAGUACCGUGAGGGAAAGGCGAAAAGAACCCCGGCGAGGGGAGUGAAAAAGAACCUGAAACCGUGUACGUACAAGCAGUGGGAGCACAGAGCAAUCUGUGUGACUGCGUACCUUUUGUAUAAUGGGUCAGCGACUUAUAUUCUGUAGCAAGGUUAACCGAAUAGGGGAGCCGAAGGGAAACCGAGUCUUAACCGGGCGUUAAGUUGCAGGGUAUAGACCCGAAACCCGGUGAUCUAGCCAUGGGCAGGUUGAAGGUUGGGUAACACUAACUGGAGGACCGAACCGACUAAUGUUGAAAAAUUAGCGGAUGACUUGUGGCUGGGGGUGAAAGGCCAAUCAAACCGGGAGAUAGCUGGUUCUCCCCGAAAGCUAUUUAGGUAGCGCCUCGUGAAUUCAUCUCCGGGGGUAGAGCACUGUUUCGGCAAGGGGGUCAUCCCGACUUACCAACCCGAUGCAAACUGCGAAUACCGGAGAAUGUUAUCACGGGAGACACACGGCGGGUGCUAACGUCCGUCGUGAAGAGGGAAACAACCCAGACCGCCAGCUAAGGUCCCAAAGUCAUGGUUAAGUGGGAAACGAUGUGGGAAGGCCCAGACAGCCAGGAUGUUGGCUUAGAAGCAGCCAUCAUUUAAAGAAAGCGUAAUAGCUCACUGGUCGAGUCGGCCUGCGCGGAAGAUGUAACGGGGCUAAACCAUGCACCGAAGCUGCGGCAGCGACACUGUGUGUUGUUGGGUAGGGGAGCGUUCUGUAAGCCUGUGAAGGUGUGCUGUGAGGCAUGCUGGAGGUAUCAGAAGUGCGAAUGCUGACAUAAGUAACGAUAAAGCGGGUGAAAAGCCCGCUCGCCGGAAGACCAAGGGUUCCUGUCCAACGUUAAUCGGGGCAGGGUGAGUCGACCCCUAAGGCGAGGCCGAAAGGCGUAGUCGAUGGGAAACAGGUUAAUAUUCCUGUACUUGGUGUUACUGCGAAGGGGGGACGGAGAAGGCUAUGUUGGCCGGGCGACGGUUGUCCCGGUUUAAGCGUGUAGGCUGGUUUUCCAGGCAAAUCCGGAAAAUCAAGGCUGAGGCGUGAUGACGAGGCACUACGGUGCUGAAGCAACAAAUGCCCUGCUUCCAGGAAAAGCCUCUAAGCAUCAGGUAACAUCAAAUCGUACCCCAAACCGACACAGGUGGUCAGGUAGAGAAUACCAAGGCGCUUGAGAGAACUCGGGUGAAGGAACUAGGCAAAAUGGUGCCGUAACUUCGGGAGAAGGCACGCUGAUAUGUAGGUGAAGUCCCUCGCGGAUGGAGCUGAAAUCAGUCGAAGAUACCAGCUGGCUGCAACUGUUUAUUAAAAACACAGCACUGUGCAAACACGAAAGUGGACGUAUACGGUGUGACGCCUGCCCGGUGCCGGAAGGUUAAUUGAUGGGGUCAGCGCAAGCGAAGCUCUUGAUCGAAGCCCCGGUAAACGGCGGCCGUAACUAUAACGGUCCUAAGGUAGCGAAAUUCCUUGUCGGGUAAGUUCCGACCUGCACGAAUGGCGUAAUGAUGGCCAGGCUGUCUCCACCCGAGACUCAGUGAAAUUGAACUCGCUGUGAAGAUGCAGUGUACCCGCGGCAAGACGGAAAGACCCCGUGAACCUUUACUAUAGCUUGACACUGAACAUUGAGCCUUGAUGUGUAGGAUAGGUGGGAGGCUUUGAAGUGUGGACGCCAGUCUGCAUGGAGCCGACCUUGAAAUACCACCCUUUAAUGUUUGAUGUUCUAACGUGGACCCGUGAUCCGGGUUGCGGACAGUGUCUGGUGGGUAGUUUGACUGGGGCGGUCUCCUCCUAAAGAGUAACGGAGGAGCACGAAGGUUGGCUAAUCCUGGUCGGACAUCAGGAGGUUAGUGCAAUGGCAUAAGCCAGCUUGACUGCGAGCGUGACGGCGCGAGCAGGUGCGAAAGCAGGUCAUAGUGAUCCGGUGGUUCUGAAUGGAAGGGCCAUCGCUCAACGGAUAAAAGGUACUCCGGGGAUAACAGGCUGAUACCGCCCAAGAGUUCAUAUCGACGGCGGUGUUUGGCACCUCGAUGUCGGCUCAUCACAUCCUGGGGCUGAAGUAGGUCCCAAGGGUAUGGCUGUUCGCCAUUUAAAGUGGUACGCGAGCUGGGUUUAGAACGUCGUGAGACAGUUCGGUCCCUAUCUGCCGUGGGCGCUGGAGAACUGAGGGGGGCUGCUCCUAGUACGAGAGGACCGGAGUGGACGCAUCACUGGUGUUCGGGUUGUCAUGCCAAUGGCACUGCCCGGUAGCUAAAUGCGGAAGAGAUAAGUGCUGAAAGCAUCUAAGCACGAAACUUGCCCCGAGAUGAGUUCUCCCUGACCCUUUAAGGGUCCUGAAGGAACGUUGAAGACGACGACGUUGAUAGGCCGGGUGUGUAAGCGCAGCGAUGCGUUGAGCUAACCGGUACUAAUGAACCGUGAGGCUUAACCUU
rnacentral:rRNA from 1 species